UCUCUUCAUAAUGAAUAAAUCUUUUUGCCUUUUACUAAAGGUUUCCGUGGAGAGU
ensembl:snRNA U5 U5 spliceosomal RNA